UACAUGACAAUGAUUUUAUUUUUACAUUAAGCAAUCGUGUUGACAACAUUUUCCAUCUAGCACUCCCAACCUAAACUUCAUCCAUCAUCAUUUCCAAGGUUUAUUAGUACCCAUGAGCAAGCAACUGUUUUGAUUUUAUGUAUUACUAAUUGAUAUUGUAAGUUGUUAUUAGUAUAGCAAAUAAACUUUUGCUUAUUACUUCUCCUUAUACUAACCAUGGUAAAGGCAUUGGAUAUGGUCCUCAUUUACAAAUAUGGGGUGAAGAAGACAUGCUCUAUGAGGCACAAGUGUAAAUGUUGUGAAGGGUUUGCCUCCUAUCCUAUAUUUGCAUGUCCUCAAGCAUCCACUAGAUUAUACCACAUCAAGGUAUGAUGGAAUACCAUCACCUCAAUAUUAAGGCAAUGGCACAAUCAUAAUAUAAUUUUUGUUUUCAUAUUAUUUCAUAUUUCUUUUUCACACUACAAAGAAGAAAAACUCCUUUUUCUUUAGAGGAAGAAAAAGUAAAAAAAAAAUAAAAAUAGUAUAAUAAUAUUUUGAUAAUACAUUUUUCAAUUUUUUUUUUAAAAAAUAAUUCUAGACUUAUCAUUUAUAAAAAAAAUUAUUUAAAUAUUUUUACAUUUUAGAAAAGAAAAGAACUAAAAAAAGGAAAAACAAAACGAAACUUCUCACUGUUUUUGUCUUUAUAAUGAAAGGAAUUUGUAAGAAAAUAAUUAUCAUUUUUGCUAUCAAAUAGGAUCAAAAUAAUGCUAAAAUUUUUAAAAUUUGUGAAUGAUUAAAAGAAUGUCAACAAAUUUUAUACAUAACUUAGCACUAAUUCUUGUUUUUAAAAAACAAAUAAAAAAAGAAAAGAAAAUAGAAAAUGUAUCCAAACCAGCAGUUAACUAUUAAAAUUCUAGUAGUGUACCUGGAGAAAGACCGAAAACCAAAGGGUGAAGAGCUUUAGGGAGACAAAAUCCAAGUAUUAGAAUUGGGCUUCCCUGCAAGUUAGUUAACAAAAUUAUGGCAUUUAAUGAGUUGUGUUUCAAGAAGAAAAGAAAAUAUUAACUUUUUUAUUCAUCACAAAAAAUUAGGAACUUAAUUAUUUAUCAAAGCUAAUAACAUAAUUCAUAUAUGAUCCAAAACUGUAAGAAGUUAACAGUCUUAGUUAGCACUAACACCUUUAAGAAGCUCUAAAAUCAAAUCUAUAUUUGAUAAGUUAAUUAAAAAAAAUUAAAGAAUAAAAAAUAAAAUAAAAAAUUUAAAGGUUUAUCUAUAUUUUUCAAAUUCUUUGGAAAUUUUGAAAUUUAAUUUUUUUUUAGUUUUAAAUUUUAUUUAAAACCUUAUAACUUUUUAAUUAACCAUUUAAUACAUUAAAAUCCUUAAAAAUUCCCAUGACAAAAAUAAUUGGAUUGGAUCAUUUAUUUUUUAUGUUGAGGCUGAUAACUCUAAUUGCAACUUCUUUUAAUAUUCAUUCUCAAUAGAUUGAACAUCAUGAAAAAAAAACAAUAGACCCAGGAAUCUAGCACUAUAUAAAGCUAUCUAAUUACAUCAUGACACUAUUGUUUGAACAUCCAGCAAGCAAAAACAUCUUAACUUCAAUCUGUUUAAGAUACAUGGAAGAAUUCUUUUAAACAUUCAGCAAGUAGUGAAUUCAAUGAUCAGUUAUUUUAGACUUACAAAUUGAUAACCAGCUUGAAAUUUAUGUUUUCUAUCCAAAACAUCAAAACCAUUAAUGCUCCACUUAUCUCAAUAAAUAUUUUAUAAAAAGUAAAAAAUUUAUUCAUGGAUUUUGAAAAUUUAAUGAAGAAAUCCCAAAUUAGAAUGAACAUUCUUAAAUUGUUCAACAUAAUUCAACACUUAAUCCUUCUUUUGUUUCCUAUGUAUUUUGUACUUUUCAAUUUCAUUUGUUCUAGGUUUUUCCCUAAUUAUACUUAUAUUUGUUAAAUAAAGAGAGAAUAUAAGAAUCAAGUAUCAACAUUAUUUCAUCCUUAAGUUCCCAAACUAUCCCUCAUUAUUCCUAUAUUUGUUAAAUAAAGAGAAAAUAUAAUAGUCUAAAAUCAACACUAUUUCAUAUCUUAAGUUCCCAAAUCAUGAAAUUAUCACCAUGCCACAAACAUAACAAUGAGAAAAAAAAAAGUCAUAAAAGUUCCAACAUGGUGCCAAACUCCUUGACAAAAACCAACCAAACUAAUUGCUUUGAUCACUAUGAAGGAAAAUAUGAUAAUCAUUUUUGCCCAUGUAUGUAUGCAAUGGCCUGUUCUAGAGAUAGAAUUUCAAUCACACGUAUACCAAAGCACCGUAGGUUACUUGAAUCAAUAAUAUCUCAAAAGUUAACAAGAGCACAGACAAAAAACUAUAACUUACCUGGUGUAAUUCUUUGAGCUCACCCUCAACAAAUCUAAAUUUAUCUGUGGGGAUGUACCAUAGACAUCUCUAAAGGCAACUCCACUAUUGGGGCAUAAUACAUUAGUAAGAAUAAAAAAUUUAAUGAAGUAAAUAAAAAUGGGUAAUUAUUGAUCUGAUACAUUCUCUAUCAUGGCAUCAAUCUCUAUAUUGGGUGGGAAUUGGAGCAGCAAAAGACAAACCCUGCAAAUAUAGACACCAAACAAUCUCAGCAUAAAAGAAAACAAAAUUUCAAAAAUAAACAAAUUGAUUCAAU
rnacentral:lncRNA from 1 species